GCUAAUAGUUCAAGCAAGAAGCACAUUUACUAAAACUGGUUUUCUUUAUUAUAGAAAAACACAUUUGUUGUUUCUCGCCUCUUGUAAUUCAUGACCCAUAAGACAAAAGUAAAAUGUUCUCUGACUGCAAAUGGAUGUAAAAACUGAUUAUACAGCUACACAUUUCUGUCAUCCUCCCAUCUCUACCCCAAAGAAAGAGGUAAGAGACUAAUACAAUGUGAAGCCAGAGGUGAAAGUUAUUUGAAAGCAAACUUUCAAGUUUGAGAGAGACUUCACAUUCAAAUCCUAUCUUUGAUGUUUGCUGUUUGUGAGAUCCCAGGAGCAUAUUUUACCUCUCUGGAUCUUCAUUUUCUGGUUGAUAAAUGGAGAAAAUAGCUACAAAGUGGUUUUGAUGAUAUAAUGUGUUAAACUGUAUUAAGAGCUUAGCUCAGUGCCUGCAACAUUGUGGGUAUUCAGAAAAACAUUAGUACUGCACUCCUUUCCUUGCCUUCUAUUCCUUAAAUUAUUCUUGGUGAGCAUUAACCAUGGUUUCAUUCUAGGUUCUCUUAUUUGACCUACUUCAGCUUUCUACUGUCCCCUCACUCUCAGGAGCUGUUUGGAUCAGAAGAUGACAUCCUUUCACCCAUCCCUUUCAGGUUUUGACAUCCUAAAAUGUACCUUAUGGAACCCAUACCUGUUAUGUUUUCACCUGUACAAGGCAACAGAGAAAACAUGGUAGUUUUUACUUGAGUAGAUGUGACUUAGCAAUAUGUUGUUGCUGACCUCCAUCCCACAGCACAAAACAUAUGUUUAUAUGUCUGACAGACAAAGUAUCCAGAACAAGGAUUUAGUACCUUCAUAAUCCUCUGUAUAUGUGGUUCUAGAACUUUUGGUAAAGAAACUCUUUAUACUCUUAUUAAUUAUUGAGAACCUCAAAAAAAGUUUAUAUGUUAUAUGUAUCAAUAUUUACCACAUUAGACAUUAAAGCUGACUUAAAAAGUUAAAAUACUUAAGUCAUUUGAAGUAAUAAUAAAUGCAGUUACAUACCAACUUAAUAACAUUUUGCGAAAAUAGCUAUUUUUCAAAACCUAAAGUGAGAAAAGUGGCAGUUUUCCAUUUUUGCAAAUCUCUUUGCUGUCUAGCUGAUAGAAGACAGCUGGAUUCUCCUAUUUGCUUUUGCAUUCAAUUGUUGUUUUGAUUGAAGUAUAUGAAAAAAAAUCUGGUGUCAUACACAUAUAUAAUUGGGAAAUGGAAGAGUAUUUACACAGGCUUUUUUAGAUAUUCUUCCUUUAUACUACAUCAAAACUUGAUAAGUUGCAAUGUUGUGAAUUGGCCCAGGGCUUGGCCCUCUGAAGAUUUGCUGAAAAUCACUGACAUGAAGUAGAUUAAUAGGAUAAAAGGCAUAUACAUUUAUUUAAUGUGUAUACACAGCGGCCUUUAGAAUGAAGACCCAAAGAUACAGAAGAAAUUGUCUGUUUUUAUGCUUAAGUUUAACAAAGAAUGGGCAGCCGUGUAGAGAUAGGAUAGGACAAAAAGGGCAUAAUCUAAUGCUAGCUGACUGAGUGAGGAAGCCCAGCAAGGCCUGUCAGUGUCUCCUCAGUAUGAGUGAAUUUUGUGUACUCUGAUAAUACAUUAAAAUCUGUUUAUGUACUCUGAUAACACAUUCAAAUCUGUUGUUCUGUUUUAUACUUUAAAUGCAUCUUUUAUAACCGUUUAUGAAUUUGUAAUAUUGUGUAUUGAUUAUCUAAAAAAUACAGGUCCAAU
rnacentral:lncRNA from 1 species